GAAGGCUGGGAAGAAGAAGUGUGGAGAACAUGGUGUGUGCUGGCUGAAGGAGGAAUGCGAGCAGAGCGGGAGCUGCAUGCUAGAGAGAGCUGCAGGACGCUGAGCAGUGAAAGCAGCGUUGCUAGAGGAUGUUGCCAGAGGGAGGGUGUUGAGACACUGUGGCCAGAGGACUAGACGCCACCAAGCCUGGUAAUAGGCGUGGAUGCUGCAGCCAUCUUUAAAGGGAACAUGAGGAGCCAAUGCAGAAGGUAUUCGACAGACAACUGAAGGCCGUUGGUACAGGAGUCUUAUCUCCAACAUUACUUGGGAGCUCGUCCGGGAUCACUGAACUGACGACACCAGAUGACGACACAACUGAUGGACAUAUACAACUGCUGACAAACCCCGGAUUCAGGAGCAGAUCUGAAUCCCCACAAUCUUCAACCAGCAGAUUUGGUGUAUCUGGAAGGACACGUGAGAAAGUCACACAAGCCCAGAUUUGAUGGUCCAUGUCAGGUGUUGCUGACCAUGCCCAUGUCUGUGAAGUUGAAAGAGAGAGGGAAGCUUGAAUACUGCAAACUUGCCCAAGUUAAGUCUGAACAAUGAAAUACACAAACAUGCAGAGGCUAAUUGGGCCUAAACCAGACAGGCCACUAUGGGUCAUUAUAUUGGGAACUUCAGUACUCCUAGUAUACCCCUCAUAGGAGAGGGCAGGGACUGGCCUGUCCAUCAGUCCAAAGUACAUACCAGUCUCUAGUAUGUAAGAAGUGUGGUAUCAGAACCACUAGAUCUUGUAUUAAGUAAGUUUAAGUAAAGAUCUUGAAAUCUCUAGGGUUUCAAAGAUACCAGUUAGUUAAGAAAUGCUGGGCUCACAUGGGCCCACAUCUGGAAAAGGAGGGGUCAGGAAGGUCACAUAAAAGAACAUAGUCCCAUUGAGCGACUUAAACGACAAGUAAAAACAGCUGGCAAAGAAGCUAAUUUACAGACCAUGGCACGAGCGCAUGGGCUUUUUAAGAUUUCUUUGGAGCAAAUAAAUAUUAUAGAGUAGAGCAUGACACUUUUAGAUAUGUAUGAAGAGAACUCAAAGAAUGUGUUGUACGUUUGACUAAUGAAACAGAUAACGCACAAGAAGUGGUCCAGAGAUAUGUACAAGAAAUAAAAGAUGAGAAGCAGGCAUAUGCCAACAAACAUAAUACCCCUGACUCCCUGGAGGGGACUUAAGGGGAAGGGAGGAUGGUUUUCCUCUCCUGGUUAAACCCAGCUAAUUGGUUUAGCGGGAUCAAAGGACAGAUUGUUGGAAUUUUUAUGUUCUUACUAAAAAUUUUUGGCUUAUAAAUGAUUAUAUAUCAGUGUUUUAAGAUACUAUUUUGUUUUCUUUCAGCUUGCAAAAAGUCUAUAAACUCAAGAUUCGAAACCUCCGAGUUUAAGAAGCUACAGAAGAGCUUAGCAAGAGAGCCGUGAGAAGUCUACCUUGAUGGAUAUGAAGCAAAUGGUCAUUACCCUUCAUCCGAUAAAGUGAAAAGCACCAUCUCACGGGGAUAUAGCCUUUAGCACCAUCAUAGCUAGACUGUUUGCCUAGACUCAUUAGGUAGAGAUUUUGUGAUGCCUUGUAGCUCAACUGUAAUGUCAGAUUAUUAUAAAAAGGAAGGACUGAGAGAGCAGCCAUUUUGUAUAACAGUAGCCAUUUCCCUGUGUAUGAAGAAAUGCUGUUGGUUAGAAUUUAUAAGUAAUGCUGACAUUCCAUUUCAUUUAGUUAGAGAAUAGUUCCCGUGAGACUCAAGGUCAAGCUAAUCUCCUGGAACAUGUUGUGAUGUUUUGAGACAAUGUCUACAGACUGGCUCCCAAGGCUUAUUCCCAAGGGACAACAAGGCCAGGGAGCAAUUACUAGAAACAUAUGUGUCUGCUGUCUUCUUAUUACUUAGAAAUGACACUUAUGUAACGUGUGAUAAAUUCCUGUAUAUGUUUAUAUAACCCCUGGACAAAUAAACAAGCUUUAGUCUCAUUCUGUUGAA